ACUACCCCACCGCGCGGCUUGGUGCCCUCCCUGCGGCCCUCGGGCCCCGCCGGCCCAGCCGGGCUGGGAGCCCCGCACGGUUUAGAUUAGAGGGGGCGGGAAGAGAGAGAGCGGCCCGGCCGGGCCGCACUGCUCGCACCAAGACUCGACAACCAGGACGGCACGCCCCGAGUCCCGGCGCUGCCCGCACACUGAGGCGCGGCGCAGCCAGGCCUGGUCGGGCCGGAGCCAACUUCCAGACAGCCGCCCUCAGCCGAGCCCCAGGCCGCGGGCUCGGCGCCCGCACACACCUCGGUCCGAGACCCGCUCCCAGCCGUGCACGCAGCGGCUCAAAACUAGAGUGGAGACUUUCUAUAAGUGCAAGGCUUUCUGAAGACUCACAGGAGAUAUUCCAAAUCAGCAUUAAGUAGUUCGUGAUGACAUGGAGAAAUGAGAUACAGAAGGGACUGGCAAGCCUUUGGUGAUGAAAACAACAGGGCAAACCAGCCAGCAUGUAAGAGAGAAAGGGAAGGAUGUCCAGAGUGCCAGACGAAGGACAUACCCUGUCUCCAGAGUGCAGUAAAGCCUUUGAUCUACUUCUUAAGAAAUCUUCGAGGACAAUGUAGGAGAACACAGAGGAGACUGGUGAAGAAGGAGGCAGGACACAGCAUGAGGGGUCACUCCAGUUCUCCAGAGGCACAGGGCACCUCUCCAUGAAGUCUUCCUCACCUUCUGGCAAUGUUCUCUUCUGUGCAUUAAACAUUUCCCCUGUGCCAGAGGCCCAAAUCCAGCCCUAAAUAUCUGGCCUGAGGAGCCAUCGCCAGCAGAGAGGGAUAUACCAGGACUGUGGGAGCCCAGGAUUGGAGGAAGGAAAACUCAGGCGUUCAGCUGGAGAGUUAUCAACCCAUUCUGAACACCUGCAAACUCAACGGAAGAUCGAAGAGAAGAAGAGCAGCAAUUCCAGGAACAGAAAAGCGACCACUUUCUGGAAGGAUCCAGUCUACAGUCGUAACAUUUGUUCCCUGACCAGGAAACCCAACCACACUGGCCCACUGUUGCCAGUUUGGGGGCAACAGCAGCGCAGUGAUGGAACAAGGGUCAUAACAAAGAAGGCGCACCCUGCCUAAUCUUUGGCAGUCUCCCACCCGCUUGCCUCGGAGCAGCCCAGCUCCGCUGUUCCCGCUGGACUCCAGGAGAUUUGGCAGGUCUCGGCUGUCACCCCAUGGGUCCACCACUCCAGAGUAAAAAAGCCCAUCACCUGGAUGAGAAGCCACAACAGUGGAAAGUCCAGCCAAACCCGGCAGACCUGCUCCGGCUUCACCUCCAAUGAGAACCCACUGACUGACUGCCUGCCGUCAUCCUUACUUCUCACUUGCACGAUAUUCCUCAUCCUAGGGGUCAGACUCUACACCGUUGUCCCCUUCUGACUGGACAUUCCCCCAGAGAGGUGCUGUUGUUAUUGUUUACCAGAUGACCCUAGGCUGUUUUACUGCCCUUACUUGUCCACAGGUUUUAUCUGCUGUUGGGCUAGCCAUAAUGGCUCCCUCUAACUAAGGCGUGGGCCCCACUUUUAUUGGCCCUCUGCUCUCUACUCCUACAGGCAUUCCACUGUUGUUUUCCCAACCCCAGUCAGUCCUGGUCUUCUGCUACCUUGGUGUGUUGUUCCUCCUCCCUGCCUUUAGCUCACCCGACCCGGCAGUGGAGGGCAAACACCCACACAAUCAGUCAUGCAUGCCUGUCCGUCUCUUACCCGAUCUUUCAGUCCUCCCCAGGAGCGGUGCUCCACUUAUACAAAAACCUCCUAGCUGCCCUGACACACCCCCAUGGCCCUUCCCCUUCUUGUAAGCCUGUUGGCCAUGUCAGGAGCUGCCCUAACGCCACUGGCAUGAAAACGUCACAGGUUCAGCACCAGGGACUAACUCAACAACUCACGGCCCUGACCCUACAGCACUAACCUGAUUCGCCAGCUUCAGUGUCCUCCAAAACAGGCGUGGACUCGACUGACUCAUAGCCGCACAAGGGGGACUCUGCCUCUUCUUACGGGAAAAAUUUGUUUCUGUGCUCAUGAGUCG